GAAAGAUGAUGAAGACAAAUCCUAAACAGGGCUUCCUGUUUGCUUAAACCUCCAACCCAAGAGAAAAUCGCUUCCAGUUUCUCUGUAGAAUCAUGGAGUUGACAUCUGUGUGACAAAAAGGAAAAAACUGCUAUUUAAAAACACAACUGGUGACAGCUACAUCUGCCCCAAUAGGAAGGGAGCAUGUGUGGACUGGAGGUCAUCAUUGCAUGGUUCACGAGAUUGAGUCUUGUGUUGAGCUCUGCGCUGACAGAGUGGAUCUUCCUUGGGAAGAUCUACAUGAAAGGUCUACAUGAUAUACAGCAAUAAAAGUUUUUCCUCAUGAGGAUAAGACCAAGAAUCGCACGCAUCCUGGCAAGCUAUUAAUCUGGUGCCAUUUAAACGAAUUAUCUGUCCACCGUGUAGUUCAUGGGUUGAAAAGAACCAGAUUCUGAUUUAAUAAAAAUUGUACUAAAUGGUAUGUGGUAUCCUUGAGAUCUUGGAAUAGUAACAGGGCAUUAGUGGAAAAACUGGUGAUUCAAAUAGUCUGUAGUUUAAUUAAAAGCACUAUACCAGUAUUUGUUUCUUAGUUUUGACAAAUAUAACAUGGUUCUGUCAAUAUUAACAUAAGGGGAAACUGGGUGAAAGCUAUAAAGGAAUUCUCUUUACACUCUUUUCUACUUUUCUGGAAGUCUAGAAUUAUUCCAAAAUAAAGUAUAAAAUAAAAUACAAUA